UCGAAGGGUUUUUAUUGCUGUACUGUGUGCGAUGUCUUGGAUACACCAGCGCCGAUCAAGGGACAGCGAUUUUCUCAGCUCUAAUUGUUCCAUUUGGAGGUGGUGUACGAGGAUAUGAGCAAACUCAUUCUACAUCUCGAGAUAUGUUCCAACACUUGCUACAAGCGUUCAAAUAAAUGCUGUUAAAUUUCA